ACUCCUGUGUGAAUCCUAUGGCAAGCCCAAGAGCUCAUAAAAACACUAUUAAUCAAUCGCGUUUACAAUUAAAACGCCGCAUUAAACGGCGCUAAUACCAUUUCAAACGCCGCUAAAAACGCCGUUCUGAUUGCAAACGCCGCAAAUAACGCGCGUAAACCUGUAAAAAACGCCGUUUUUAACGCCGUUUUAGUGUUAGUGAAAAGCGCGGUUUAUGACGCGAUCCGCUUGCCACAAAACGCCGUUUAAAACGCCGUUUUAACCCCACUGAAACGCGCGUUAUAAACGGCGCUUUCCUGAAGUAUAAUGAGCCACGCCCGCUGAUUUCCACAGCCAGUAAGCUUGAGCUGCUCUCACCCAAUCAACGAUGAACAGAACCAGACAAGACUAGUUCACCACUGAUCGUAGCGGAAGAAGGGACUCUGGACUGAUAGCAAAUGCUUAUUUACAAAGUACCUUUUACAAUAGAUCGAUUCCACGUCUUUGUGCUUGUAAAUGUUCAUUUUAGAUAGAUGGCAUCAGAAGAAAUGUAUUUUUGUAAGUGCCUUGGCAAAAGUGAGCGGGCAUGUUAUUGUAACCCUUAUUUAUGGCUGUUUACAGACCAUUCUCUCCAACGUGGGCAUCGUAAAUAAACGCUGGUUACCAGGGUGAUAAUUCGUUUCUUUUCUUUAAUCUGGAGCAUCGACAUAACAUUCACAAACAACAUUACAACAGCAUUGCAUCUGCCGAAUUCCUCCACUUCCUUUUUUCCCUCUUUCUCCUGCUUUCCGGUGCGCCUCCCUUAAAGGAGCCAGAGCACAACAAUAACUUUCUCAACUAACACAUAUUAAACCUUGUAUCAGACAUAUUGAACGUAAAUAGAAAAUCUUUUAAGUAGAUUCAAUAACAUUUUUACAGUUAAGUAUUAAUUAGCAAAAUAUUAAUUGAAAUAAUGAAUAAAAUAUAAAGUUACAUUGACAGCAGGUCUGCAAACGCAAACUAACCCACUCAAUACUAUUAGGGCUGCAUGGGCAACAUCAGUUGGAGGGCUAAUGCAGAUUUUAGCUCCAGCCCAUCAAGCACCGGCCAGCUUUAGUGGUCUUGAAUACGUUGGUUAGCUUGUUUGGGUGCGUUUGAUGUGCGUUAUAGCAAAACUCCACAAUGCCAUCCCUGACAGGCCCUGCCAGGUGCAUUUUAAUAGGGCAGACCUUAUGACUGAUUUUGGACCCUCUUGUUCCUUUCAUUUAGGCUAUUUAUUCACUUAUUUGUUAUUACUUUGCAUUGCUGCCCAAGUUACUAGCUUAAGGCAGUAUAAUAUACUUUUAUAGUAAUAAUAAUACGCACAGUUUCAUUAUUACAUCAAUGAAUUAGUGCAACGAUACCGUUUAUAUAAAUGCGACAGAUCUUUCAGCGCCAAACAAGUGCUUUACAUUAUUUUAUUCUCCUUAUUUAUUUCCGUUUUAUUUCAAAUAAUAAAUGUUAAAAGUUUUAAGUAAAGACAUCAAACUAUGCCCACACAUGCAAGCUAACCCGGUUAGACUAUUCUAUACCGAUAUAGUGAAAUCAGCAUAACACAAAAAAUACGUUUAAAAAUCAAGAUUUAAUAUUAAAUGCCAUUUAAUAUUAUUUUUAAUAUUAAACUAUUUUUAAAUUGUUUAAAAGUUUAUGUAAAUGCUGCGUUCAGGCUGCGUUACUUUAAAGUGUGCAUUACCGAGCCUCAUUCAAGCACUGCAGCAGAGAGCGUUGUCAUGGAAAUGGAGCAACGACACGACACGACACGACCCCUGACCGUCAACAGCACUUCUCUCAUGCGGCAGUUUUCACUAAUUUCAGUGCUCUGUGGUUUCAGGAGUAACAAAAUUACCCCUACAACAAAAUAGAAGAGCCAAGAUGAAGGGAGCUGAUCACAGAGAUGGAGGAAACACAGCAUCUUAAAGGGGCCCAAUGGUUCUAGAGCCAAUCAGCUUCUGAACAUAUUUAUAUGAUAAGAAAGAAGCCUGCUACAAGAGAGACAGCGGAAGGGAGCCUCCAAGACAUUUUUAUUAGGAUCUGCUAAUCAUGAGGGGGCAGACAAAAGAAACUGCAUUUUCCUUCAGCUUAAUAUCAGGGGUCGGCACAGCGGAAGAAUCUGGAUAUUACUCUGGCAUAUGUUUUACACAGCAAAUGGCCUCCCAGCUGCAACCCAGCACUGUGAAACACCCAUACACUCUCGCAUUCACAGACACUUCUACACAAUGUUCAAAUUCACCUACAGUAUAGCACAUGUGUUUGGACUGUGGUGGAGACCCACACCAAAACAGGGAGAACAUGCAAACUCCACACAGUAAUGCCAACUGACCCAACCGGGACUUGAACCACCAACCUUUUUGCUGUGAGGUAACAGUCUGAGCCACUGUGCUGCCCCAGUGUAGUUCUUAAAAACUUCCAGAUAUUUUACAGUUUGAUUUUGUAAUGAUAAUGUAUGUUUACAUUUAUUGUAAUAUGUUAAUAUUUAUUCACAAUGUAAUGAAUUUUUUAUGUUAUUUAUAUUAACGUUAAAUGUUAUAUUAAUGUUAUAAUAUAUUAUAAUAAAUAAUUAUAAUAAUGUUAAAUUAUAAAUAAUAUUUUUUUUAUAAUGUUAUAAUGUUUUUUAUAGUUUAUUUUUAUAUAUAAUGAUAAGACUCAAAGUUCGUCUUUUUAUUAUAUGACAAACUUAUUGUUGUAUGGGUAAUACUUUUCAAUAAGGUUGUAUGUAUUAGUUAAUGUUAAUGUAUUUACUAACGUAACCAAUACAUUUAUUACAGUAUUUAUUCAUCUUUGCUAAUGUUGGUAAAUGGUAAAAAAAAGUUGUUCAUUGUUUUUCCAUCUUAAUUCACAAUUUAUAAACUAAAGUUAACAAGCA